rnacentral:rRNA from 1 species
GACGAACGCUGGCGGCGUGCUUAACACAUGCAAGUCGAACGGAAAGGCCCUGCUUUUGUGGGGUGCUCGAGUGGCGAACGGGUGAGUAACACGUGAGUAACCUGCCCUUGACUUUGGGAUAACUUCAGGAAACUGGGGCUAAUACCGGAUAGGAGCUCCUGCUGCAUGGUGGGGGUUGGAAAGUUUCGGCGGUUGGGGAUGGACUCGCGGCUUAUCAGCUUGUUGGUGGGGUAGUGGCUUACCAAGGCUUUGACGGGUAGCCGGCCUGAGAGGGUGACCGGACACAUUGGGACUGAGAUACGGCCCAGACUCCUACGGGAGGCAGCAGUGGGGAAUAUUGCACAGUGGGCGGAAGCCUGAUGCAGCAACGCCGCGUGCGGGAUAACGGCCUUCGGGUUGUAAACCGCUUUCGCCUGUGACGAAGCGUGAGUGACGGUAAUGGGUAAAGAAGCACCGGCUAACUACGUG